CCAUGUGACUUUAGGUACUCUGUAGAAAAAAUGUCAUGUCUAUUUUUAUAUAUUUUUUCCCAACCACUGCAGUGCUCCUCCUACAUUAGUUGAACUCUCCUGGAAGCCCAACAGCAGCCGCCAUGACGGAAUUCUGGUUGAUCUCUGCGCCAGGUGAGAAGACGUGUCAGCAGACAUGGGACAAGCUGAUGGUGGCCACCACGCGCACCAACAACCUCUCCACCAACACCAAGUUCAACAUUCCCGACCUCAAGGUGGGCACGCUGGAUGUCCUGGUGGGUCUGUCCGACGAGCUGGCCAAGCUGGAUACGUUUGUGGAAAGGUGAC